UCUCCAGCAGCUUUUAAGGAGAGGUUUCUGCCCAUCUCCCAAGACAUUCUGCCAUUGGAAUCUGCCUGACUUUGGAAUUUGGUGUUCCAAGUGUUUUGUGGAAGAAAUCUUUUGAGCAAGUGUGUUAUUAACUUCUUACCUAAUGAAAAAUAAUAAAAGAGUGAUUAAACAAUUAAUACUAGAUGUUGCUUAACAGUUGUAAGAGGUUUACUUAAUAGUUUUCUGACACAUUUUCCCCCCUAAUUUAGGAAUAAAAUAGACAUAAUUGAGCAUGCUGUUCUGAAGCUCCAAAUUACACUGUGAAGAGAAUUGAAGGAAAGACAUUUCUUUGAUUUGAAUAUUUUUCUCAUUAACAGGACGUUCAGAAUAAAGCAGAAAUAUUUGAUGCACAGAGCCUGUGGCAGUAUCAAGUUAACACUGGCGUGCUCCCGCGUUUUACCUCAUGUUUACAAAUCACUCCGAAAAGAAAGGUCACAUCUUUCAUCACAAAAUGGAAACUUUUUCACAGCAAACAAUUGGAUUUUCAGCACUCCAUUUGAAGUGGAGUUCAGUGUGCAGAGUGAGAGCCCAAGGCAGUGGGAUGAGGUAGCUGAGCAGAGCUGUGCUCUCGAGGGGUUGGGUACCACAAACUCUGAGUAAGGGCUCUCUCAGCUGUAUCAAGGCAUCCUGCUGUUCUGAAACAGGGAAUCUGAAUUGAAAUUGUUUGGAGAAGAGAAUAAAUAAGGUUUGAGUAGGUGUUGGAGUGCAGUCUUGGCUCACAACCAUGUCAGGGUUGAGACACUGCUGCCUGUCUGGCUCAGGAUGCUGCAGGACAAGUCAGCCUGAAGGGCAGGAGAGCCACAGUGACCUGCAGAGUGUUAAACCACAUUCCUCCUCUGAAGAGUCUUCUCUGUUUUAUCUCCUCUGUGCCUCCACCAUGGCCUUCUAGCUCUAUUCUUCUUCUGAUUUUUUUUGUGUGUUUUGACAAAGUGAAUUUACUUGGCAGCUGGAAAAAAAAACCCAAUUUUUUUCCCAGGUAGAAAAUACAGCUUGGUAGCUCCUCAAGCAAAAUACUCCCCAUGUAAUUUCUUCUGUUUCUCUCUCCCUCCCAUUCCGUCUGCUCCAAGCAGAGGAGCAGCCCUGAAGUCCUUUUUGUCUGGGUGAGGGAAUUUCUGCCUCCCUGGGAGCAGUUCCCACCCACCCCUGGGUGCAGACAGGAGCUGGACCAGGGGCUGUGCGUGGAUGUGACCAGAGCUCAGUGCUCAGAACUCCUCCUCACCCUCCCCUGGGCUCUGCUGAGAGUUACUCUUGAGACAGUGAAGUGAAAUCAGAGGAGUGACCAGGAAAUAUCACUGGCUCUGUUCUUCCUUCCCCUCCACUGGUUGCACAGAAUCAGCUGCCCCCAAGGAGUCUCCCAGGCAGUGACACUGAGAGGACACAGCUUUACCCCUGGCCAGCCUUUACACCUGGCUCCUGGAGAAAUCACUGAUAUGGGAAGAUGCACAGGUUGCCUGCAGCUCUGGCACAUACUGCAUGGCAUGGCACACACGUAAGUGAGAUUGAUUCGAGUUCUGGGCAUCAUCAGUACAAUAAAAACUGUGAUUUUUUUUCUUUUUUUUAGUUCAGACCUACAGGCCAUUGCAGAGAAGAGUAAUCAUAAGACAGAAACGAGUUCCCUAGUUAAAAAUUAAUUCCCUAGACUAAAAAUAUAAUCAAACGAUGUCUACAGUAUUUUAUGAAGAGCUGGGAGGAUAAUAAAAUUUAAAGCAGUGCAACAUUUGCAUUUUGUUCAUUUCUAUCCAUAUUUUUCCGUAGACUGCCUUUCUCUGUGCUUGUUAAUCAUAUGCACUGCUACAGUCCUGGCAUUUUAAGAUCACUGUUCACAUCAAGAUUGAAAGGAAACUAAUUACAAUCACAUUUCAGGGUGGUUGUUCAAAGCUCGUUCGGCGCCGGCUACAGCACGGGAGCCUUGACCUUUAUUUGUAAGCAUGAAAAUAAGGUAAAGAUGAAAGAUUGGUUUUCCUGCAGCUUGUACUGAGGGAUCAGGAGGCCCUCUGGAGAGGCAGAGGUGUGGGAAGCCUCUCUCCUCUCCUCCUCUCCCAUGCUGGCAGCAGAGGCCAGUAGUGCUAUGCAGAAGCUCUGCUCCACUGCAGCGAGGGGUGAACGAAAGCUCCGCGGUGUUUUUCAGCUCUCCCUCCUGCUGGAAGAACGUGGGAAGAACCAGCAGAACCGAGGAGUCUUUUUGACCCCCGUGCAGAGCUUUGCAGGGAUUUGUUUGCAGCGCCUGGUGCUGCUCUCUGUGCUCUGGUGGUUGAGGAAUUGGCAUGUGGCAGCUCCAAGCAGUGCCACAGCCUCUUCUGCCACUCAUUCCAAUACCUAACAACACUCUCAGCACUCAGGUGGAUGCACUGGGGCACAAUAAGGUCCCUCAAACCUUAGGGAGUGCCGGUAAUCCUAAUGCAAUCCCUGAUUUCACUCAAUGGGAAUGCAUUGAGAGUGUGCUGGAUGGCAGAUUUAUCCCACAGGUUUCAGCUUCUGUGCGCCUGAAUUCUCCAAACUGCUGUUUUAUUAAAUUUGUGCUGUGCUGAGAACGAGCUGAGGGUUGGUGACACAAAUGGGUUUCAGCCAGGAGCUGCUGACGGGGGGUUGUUCCCAAAUGCUCCUUUCAGAGUCGCUGCCCACUGUUCAAAGCUGAGCCACGGCGAGUGCUGACCCCAAAGACCCUCUGAGCUUCCACCCAUCCUGGAUUAUCACAGGAAGGAAUUAAUUGAGGAGAAGUUCCCCAGCCCUGAAGAGAAACAACCCCAUUCUCCUCCCACUGUGUGUUUGCCCUGCACAAUCACUGCUGUGCCUGGCCCCUUGUCCAGGCAAUCUCUGCUGCAGCCCUGAUGUCCAGUGGGUUUUUUGGCAGGAUCUGCCAGGUAAUUUGUAUCUCCUGGCUGGAAAAACUCUAUUUAGGGCACCAAGCAGUGAGAGAAGGGAAACUCAUCUGACACCCACCACCUCAGCCUGCUGCAGGCAGAGGACACAGACCUUGCAUGCUGCUGGGACCCGGGAUGCCACUCAAACCGAGAAGAAAAGAUGAUUCUGCAACACUUUUUUGUGGUGUAUUCUCCUUCUUUCUACAUUCUUCAAAGCACAGAUUUACCCAGGCAAAUAUUUACAGAAACUGAAGGAAAAAAAUAGACUGGUGUUAUAGACACUGCAGCAGUGAACUUCUAAUUACAAUCCACGAAGUAUUUAUGAAUAAAUUUAUCUAUUAUUUGUCUAGUUCGAGCACUGCGUACACUUUGCCUUGUACCAUUACACGCUGAAGGAAACAAUAUGCAGCAUGAAAAUGAAAACAAUUUGACUUAAUUAUUUACACCAUUACCGCCACUUUGAAUUAGGCCUUCCAUUUCUUUGGGAUUUUGUAAAAUUUAACUGGCAAUUACGCUUGCUUAAUUAAUUUUAUUUAUCUACUACUACAAUGUGAUCAAAACAAAAAACCUACCAGAAUGCAAAGUACAGGCUGUGUCCCCUAAUUGUAAAUGUUGCUUUUAAGCCUUUAUGAUAAAAAUGUAGUAUUUUGCACCAUUUCAUUUCAAGCGUAUCUGGCCAUGCUCCAGUACUAUUUAAGUGUAAACAGGAAAAGCCUUGGAGGACGAGUAAUCACACUUAAAUGACACAAAGAUCAUUAUAAUGAUGUUCCAAAAACAUGGCAAAAUUAGAUAUUGCAGAACUGUUUUCUUCUCUGAAGUGUUCCACCAGAUGGUGAAGAGUGCUGAAACCGUAGAUCCGCGAGAGGGGAGGAAAAACAUCCCCACACUUCCCUCACGCUCCCGUCCCAGCUCGUCUCAAGUGGCACCUCACACCUUGGCUCUGUCAAACCUCCGAGCUCGAGAUGCCACCGAGGUGUUUGAGUGCUGAAUCACAGCCUGGGGAAGCCCUGCUUUGUUCCAUUAAAGUUGUCAAGCGGAUUUAUUUGGAGCCGAGGAGGAACGAGCGCGUCAGCAGAAGUUAUGGCGGUAAUUUGUGAAACUCUUAAUGAGAUAUUUUCAGAGCUCAUAAAGAGGAAGAGCCGUGUCAUUGAAUUACUGCACAAUGAGUGCAUUUUGAUACAGGAAAAGAGUUGGGCUUUUAUCUGAGAUGGCACUGCAUCAGUGGGGAUGUGUCAGGGAGUAUUUAAAAGGGUCUAACAAGGGUUAUGUAAAUGUGGUUUAUAUAAGUGGGGAGAUGUCUCUGUGUGUUGCUGCUCUGCAAAAUGGCCACAAAUGAGGUGAGUCUGCACCUUUAUCACCAUUUCUCUUCCUUUCCAAAAGACUUGACAAAGUUGCUUUCCACAGGACCUGCUAUGUCUUCAGAUGUCAUUAUAUUUUUGUUAUUUUUUUGUUAUUAGAAAUAUCUGAGAAAUAUCUAGAAAAUUGGAAUUACUCAUUAAAGGAACACCUAAUUUUGUUACUUUAACAUUGGUCAGGGGGUUCUACUUUUAGAAAUAUUGGUGUACCUCUAGUACCUGCCAUCCAUCCAUCCAUCCAUCCAUCCAUCCAUCCAUCCAUCCAUCCAUCCAUCCAUCCAUCCAUCCAUCCCCUCCUGAAUUUCUAAUCUCUUUUAAUUUCUAUUCUGGGGAAUCCAUAAAUGAACAAGGUGAUUUAUUGGGGUGCUGUGAUUUCUGCUGACCCAUUCCCAGCCCUAGCUCCCUUUGGAAAUCCUGACAUGUCCUGGGGGACAGCGAAGUAACAGUGGGGACAAGGGCUGUGCUCUGGAGAAGAUUUGGGCUGGGAUGCACUGAACAAAGGAGAAGAGAGUGUAAAACCUUCCACCUUCCUGAAAUGUUUGAUGUAAAUGUAUUUCCAAGCCUUCCACCUUCCUGAAAUAUUCAUUUUCUUAACAUUUCCUCAGGAACACACAUGACAAAUCCAGAUCCACAGAAAACUCGUCCUUUUUCACUGAAAGAUCCUGAAAUGGAAGGUGACUUCAUCCCCGACUGGCAGUCAUUCUAAUUCCAUGCUGAGCAAGGGAACAGCCUCUUAUUCACUGUGUUACAAAUAUUUUUGAGCUGAAUGUUCACAGUGUCCGAAGAACGGCCCACAUGCUGCAUUUGCUGCACUUCCAUUAUUCAGAGCUAGCAAUAAAAAUCAUGCAAAAUUCUCACAUCUAUCCCAACUCAAUGGACAUUUGGAAAUGGGGCUUGCAAACGGGAGAGGUAAUAAAGCACACGGAGGAAAUCAAACACAAAUAUUGAAAUGAUGAAACCAUCGAUGAGCCAGAAUGCCAUGGGAUGUGCCAUGUGGGAGUAGGUUGGGAAGCAGCAGUCCCUAACCCAAGUCUUCUGGACAACCUGCUGCCCACGGGAUUUUCCAAGGCUGGGAUGUGGCCAGGUGGGCUCCAGGAACAGCAGAGCACAUUCUGCUUCUGUGAGAUGGUAAGAACUGGGAUUACUCUUCUAGCAUAUAAAUUCUGUCACUCCAGACCUUAAAAACCCAGGGUUUGCUCAACGAGGAGAGCUGUGGAUUUUAAUUGGAUACUUGAAAUAAACGGAUUGUCUGCCCUAACUUAGCAAACGGGAUUUUUUUUCUUUCCCAGUUAUUAAUUUCCUUAAAUGUAAAGUGACAUCUAAAAUGAAAACAGUUUAUUGCUUGCCAGGAGCAAAGCCAGCCUAAUUUAAGAAAUCCAGAAUUAAAGCUUUUGAAGCAUAUCGGGGCAUGUUUAUAAAACAAUUAUCAUUGCAAACGUUCUCUCUGCUCAAUGCAGCCUCUUCAGGCCACCUCCAGAGCCUGAAACUUCAUCACCAGUCAUCCCCAGCCCGAAAUGUUUCAUCAAUUCCGUAAAAUCAGGUCAUCCUUUGAUUGCAGCUUCCCUCUGUAGACCCAGGCGUUGAAUCCCAAACUGAACUCACCUAGAAUAUAUUUGAUGCCAAAAAAAAAUUAGCUCACUGUUUAAUAUUAAGUAUUAGGCACAUUAUUAAUAACUGACAGCAGACAAAGGAGUGCAGUGACCUCUCCAACAGAGCAUUUAAAUCUUUGCACAACAUGCUCUGCUUGUGCUAGGCUGGUUUCACAAACAACAGCUGUGGAGUUCGUUAACAUAUGAAUCCCCUUGAGGUAAUUUGGAGGAGCCAAAUGUGCUAAACUAAACACCUCAUUAAAACAGUACUUUAAAAAACAAAACAAACCAAGAAAACCCAACCCCAACCCCAACCCCAAACUAAUUUCACAUUCCACUUCCACAUGUGCAGGUUCUAUUAUGUGGAAUUCAUUCAGCUUGGUGGCUGGAAAUAGUGGGGGUUAAAAUCAGUAAUGUGAGUUUUUCUCUGCUAAGAUGCACUUGAGACUAAAGUGCCUUUGAAGUGUGUUUGUCACAAAGAAGCAAUUAACUGAGGACAAUAAUGUUUUCUUUUCCUCCAUGUUACUGAGCACGGGACACAAGUUUGUACUCAAGUAUGCAGGACCCCAUCUCCCUUGAGUCUGGGGAGAGAACGGAGAUAACAAAAGGGGCUCUCACAAUUUUUAUGAAAGUUUUUUGAAAGUUUUAUGAAAGUUUUAGCUUCCAUAUUUUCCAUAUUCUGUACUGCAUUAGUAUAUAACUCUGAGCUCCAUACAAUGUGUUCCAGGUUCUCCUCACAGUAUUUUCAGAUUUUGAAAAUUACCCAAAAGGCAAAUAACUGGGAAUUUUUUUGGAUGCUAGAGUCUUAUGAAGCAACAGCCCAUUUUCCUUCAGGAUAUUGUGGUUUAAGGUUCUCCUGAAUGGUCUCGAAUUAUGGGAUGCUAUAGAGCUCUUAGGUUUUUUAUUUUUUUCCUCAGAAAAAUCUUAUUUUAAUGCUCUAUUUUAUGUUUCCUUUAUCAGGAAAACAUCAACCUAAUUAGCAACGAUAAUUUGGAACUUCCAUAAGAAACCUUUCACAUGGAUAAAAACAACAGAAGUUGGGUAACAUUGAGACACUUAUGCAUGCUCCAUAGUUUUUAUUUUCCUUUUUAAAACCUUUAUUCCUGAAGCUUAUGCAAGGAACUUGGUUUUAGGGAGCUG